GACGUAGGGCGCGAGCGUUGUCCGGAUUUAUUGGGCGUAAAGAGCUCGUAGGCGGCUUGUCGCGUCGACUGUGAAAUCCCGCGGCUCAACUGCGGGUCUGCAGCCGAUACGGGCAGGCUAGAGUUCGGUAGGGGAGACUGGAAUUCCUGGUGUAGCGGUGAAAUGCGCAGAUAUCAGGAGGAACACCGGUGGCGAAGGCGGGUCUCUGGGCCGUAACUGACGCUGAGGAGCGAAAGCAUGGGGGAGCGAACAGGG
rnacentral:rRNA from 1 species